rnacentral:tRNA from 1 species
GGGCCCGUAGCUUAGCCUGGUGGAGUGCCCGACUGAUAAUCGGGUGGUCCCGUGUUCAAAUCACGGCGGGCCCA